GACGAACGCUGGCGGCGUGCCUAAUACAUGCAAGUUGAACGCUGAAGAGUGGUACUUGUACCAACUGGAUGAGCAGCGAACGGGUGAGUAACGCGUGGGUAAUCUGCCUUGUAGCGGGGGACAACAAUUGGAAACGAAAGCUAAUACCGCAUAAAAACGUUAAACACAAGUUAUAUAUUUGAAAGAGGCAAUUGCAUCACUCAAAGAUGGUCCCGCGUUGUAUUAGCUAGUUGGUGAGGUAAAGGCUCACCAAGGCGACGAUACAUAGCCGACCUGAGAGGGUGAGUGGCCACCUUGGGAGUGAGACACGGCCCAAACUCCCUCGGGAGGGCGCCGUAGGGAAACUUUGGGCAGUGGCGACAGCCUGACCGAGCAAAGCCGAGGGAGGGAAGAAGGUUUUCGGGUCGUAAAACUCUGUUGGUAGGGAAGAAACUUGGUGGGAGUGGAAAGCUCCUCAAGUGACGGUAACUAUCCAGGAAGGGACGGCUAACUACGUG
rnacentral:rRNA from 1 species